AGCGAACGCUGGCGGCAGGCCUAACACAUGCAAGUCGAACGAUGCCUUCGGACUUAGUGGCGGACGGGUGAGUAACACGUGGGAACGUACCUUUUGGUUCGGAACAACUCAGGGAAACUUGAGCUAAUACCGGAUGAGCCCUUAGGGGGAAAGAUUUAUCGCCGAAAGAGCGUGGCCGGGUUAGAUUAGCUAGUUGGUGAGGUAAAGGCUCACCAAGGCUACGAUCUAUAGCUGGUCUGAGAGGAUGAUCAGCCACGCUGGGACGGAGACACGGCCCCGACUCCUAGGGGAGGCAGCAGUGGGGAAUCUUGAGCGAUGGGCGAAAGCCUGACGCAGCCAUGCCGCGUGAAUGAUGAAGGUCUUAGGAUUGUAAAAUUCUUUUACCAGGGACGAUAAUGACGGUACCUGGAGAAAAAGCCCCGGCUAACUUCGUGCCAGCAGCCGCCGUAAUAC
rnacentral:rRNA from 1 species